CAGGCUUAACACAUGCAAGUCGAGGGGAAACGACAUCGAAAGCUUGCUUUUGAUGGGCGUCGACCGGCGCACGGGUGAGUAACGCGUAUCCAACCUGCCCACCACUUGGGGAUAACCUUGCGAAAGAAAGACUAAUACCCAAUGACGUCUCUAAAAGACAUCUGAAAGAGAUUAAAGAUUUAUCGGUGAUGGAUGGGGAUGCGUCUGAUUAGCUUGUUGGCGGGGUAACGGCCCACCAAGGCAACGAUCAGUAGGGGUUCUGAGAGGAAGGUCCCCCACAUUGGAACUGAGACACGGUCCACACUCCUACGGGAGGCAGCAGUGAGGAAUAUUGGUCAAUGGACGAGAGUCUGAACCACCCAAGUAGCGUGCAGGAAGACGGCCCUAUGGGUUGUAAACUGCUUUUAUAAGGGAAUAAAGUGAGUCUCGUGAGACUUUUUGCAUGUACCUUAUGAAUAAGGACCGGCUAAUUCCGUGCCAGCAGCCGCGGUAAUACGGAAGGUCCGGGCGUUAUCCGGAUUUAUUGGGUUUAAAGGGAGCGUAGGCCGGAGAUUAAGCGUGUUGUGAAAUGUAAAUGCUCAACAUCUAAACUUCAUCUCUAACUANUUUCCUUAANUACUCACAAACUCCCCCCAAUUCUUUUNUUAUCUNUNAAAUUCUUAUAUAUCAAGAANNNCUCCUCUUCCUUNUUCUUCUCUCUUCNNCUCUNCUNNCUCUNNNNCUCUNNNNUNCCCUCCUCCAAAAGGCCUUUNUNCCNUNNUNNUCCNCNCNNUCCCCCCUCAAUGGUCUCUGUGGUCUGAAUAGGUCAGCGGCCAAGCGAAAGCAUUAAGCAUCCCACCUGGGGAGUACGCCGGCAACGGUGAAACUCAAAGGAAUUGACGGGGGCCCGCACAAGCGGAGGAACAUGUGGUUUAAUUCGAUGAUACGCGAGGAACCUUACCCGGGCUUGAAUUGCAGAGGAAGGAUUUGGAGACAAUGACGCCCUUCGGGGCCUCUGUGAAGGUGCUGCAUGGUUGUCGUCAGCUCGUGCCGUGAGGUGUCGGCUUAAGUGCCAUAACGAGCGCAACCCCUCUCCUUAGUUGCCAUCAGGUGAAGCUGGGCACUCUGGGGACACUGCCACCGUAAGGUGUGAGGAAGGUGGGGAUGACGUCAAAUCAGCACGGCCCUUACGUCCGGGGCUACACACGUGUUACAAUGGCAGGUACAGAGAGACGGUCCCUUGCAAAAUGGAUCAAAUCCUUAAAGCCUGUCUCAGUUCGGACUGGGGUCUGCAACCCGACCCCACGAAGCUGGAUUCGCUAGUAAUCGCGCAUCAGCCAUGGCGCGGUGAAUACGUUCCCGGGCCUUGCACAAAGCGCCCGUC
rnacentral:rRNA from 1 species